CCUACGGGCGGCAGCAGUGGGGAAUAUUGGACAAUGGGCGAAAGCCUGAUCCAGCCAUGCCGCGUGUGUGAAGAAGGCCUUCGGGUUGUAAAGCACUUUCAGUGGGGAAGAAAGCCUUGGGGCUAAUACCCUCGAGGAAGGACAUCACCCACAGAAGAAGCACCGGCUAACUCCGUGCCAGCAGCCGCGGUAAUACGGUGGGUGCGAGCGUUAAUCGGAAUUACUGGGCGUAAAGCGCGCGUAGGCGGUCUGAUAAGCCGGUUGUGAAAGCCCCGGGCUCAACCUGGGAACGGCAUCCGGAACUGGCAGGCUAGAGUGCAGGAGAGGAAGGUAGAAUUCCCGGUGUAGCGGUGAAAUGCGUAGAGAUCGGGAGGAAUACCAGUGGCGAAGGCGGCCUUCUGGACUGACACUGACGCUGAGGUGCGAAAGCGUGGGUAGCAAACAGGAUUAGAUACCCCAGUAGUC
rnacentral:rRNA from 1 species